GACGAACGCUGGCGGUGUGCUUAACACAUGCAAGUCGAACGGUAAGGCCCUUUCGGGGGUACACGAGUGGCGAACGGGUGAGUAACACGUGAGUAACCUGCCCUCAUCUCUGGGAUAACAGUCGGAAACGGUUGCUAAUACUGGAUAUGAGCUUGCAAGGCAUCUUGUGGGUUGGAAAGAUUUUUUUGGUUGGGGAUGGACUCGCGGCCUAUCAGCUUGUUGGUGAGGUAGUGGCUCACCAAGGCUUCGACGGGUAGCCGGCCUGAAAGGGCGACCGGCCACAUUGGGACUGAGAUACGGCCCAAACUCCUACGGGAGGCAGCAGUGGGGAAUAUUGCACAAUGGACGGAAGUCUGAUGCAGCAACGCCGCGUGCGGGAUGACGGCCUUCGGGUUGUAAACCGCUUUCAAUUGUGACGAAGCUUUUUGUGACGGUAGCAGUAGAAGAAGCACCGGCUAACUACGUG
rnacentral:rRNA from 1 species